rnacentral:rRNA from 1 species
CCUACGGGAGGCAGCAGUGAGGAAUAUUGGUCAAUGGGCGCGAGCCUGAACCAGCCAAGUAGCGUGAAGGAUGACUGCCCUACGGGUUGUACACUUCUUUUAUAAAGGAAUAAAGUGAGGCACGUGUGCCUUUUUGUAUGUACUUUAUGAAUAAGGAUCGGCUAACUCCGUGCCAGCAGCCGCGGUAAUAAGGAGGAUCCGAGCGUUAUCCGGAUUGAUGUGGUUUAAAUGGAGCGUAGAUGGGUUGUUAAGUCAGUUGUGAAAGUUUGCGGCUCAACCGUAAAAUUGCAAUGGAUACUGGCAGCCUUGAGUACAGUUGAGGUAGGCGGAAUUCGUGGUGUAGCGGUGAAAUGCUUAGAUAUCACGAAGAACUCCGAUUGCGAAGGCAGCUUACUAAACUGCCACUGACAUUGAUGCUCGAAAGUGUGGGUAUCAAACAGGAUUAGAUACCCCGGUAGUC